rnacentral:rRNA from 1 species
AUUGAACGCUGGCGGCAGGCCUAACACAUGCAAGUCGAACGAGUGGCGGACGGGUGAGUAAUGUCUGGGAAACUGCCUGAUGGAGGGGGAUAACUACUGGAAACGGUAGCUAAUACCGCAUACCAUCGGAUGUGCCCAGAUGGGAUGAGCUCGUGGGUGGGGUAACGGCUCACCAAGGCGACGAUCCCUAGCUGGUCUGCGAGGAUGACCAUCCACAAUGGAACUGAGACACGGUCCAGACUCCUACGGGAGGCAGCAGUGGGGAAUAUGGCACAAUGGGCGCAAGCCGGAUGCAGCCAUGCCGCGUGUAUGAAGAAGGCCUUCGGUUUGUAAAGUACUUUCAGCGGGGAGGCGUUACCCGAAGAAGAAGCACCGGCUAACUCCGUGCCAGCAGCCGCGGUAAUUC